UACGAGGGGUCCUAGCGUUGUUCGGAAUCAUUGGGCGUAAAGGGAGUGUAGGUGGCCAUUCAAGUCAGUUGUGAAAUCCCCGGGCUCAACCCGGGAAGUGCUUCUGAUACUGUUUGGCUUGAGUACUGGAGAGGAUAGUAGAAUUCCUGGUGUAGUGGUGAAAUACGUAGAUAUCAGGAGGAAUACCGGUGGCGAAGGCGGCUAUCUGGCCAUGUACUGACGCUGAAACUCGAAAGCGUGGGGAGCAAACAGG
rnacentral:rRNA from 1 species